UACAGAGGGGGCGAGCGUUGUUCGGAAUUACUGGGCGUAAAGGGCGCGUAGGCGGCCAACUAAGUCAGACGUGAAAUCCCUCGGCUCAACCGGGGAACUGCGUCUGAUACUGGAUGGCUUGAAUUCGGGAGAGGGAUGCGGAAUUCCAGGUGUAGCGGUGAAAUGCGUAGAUAUCUGGAGGAACACCGGUGGCGAAGGCGGCAUCCUGGACCGGCAUUGACGCUGAGGAGCGAAAGCCAGGGGAGCAAACGGG
rnacentral:rRNA from 1 species